rnacentral:tRNA from 1 species
GGGUGGUGCAGUGGUUACAGUGCCAGGCUAAGACCUGGGAGGCCAGGGUUCAAAUCCCCACUGAGCCA